rnacentral:rRNA from 1 species
GGGCCCGCACAAGCGGUGGAGCAUGUGGUUCAAUUCGAAGCAACGCGCAGAACCUUACCAGCCCUUGACAUGCCACGACGGUUUCCAGAGAUGGAUUCCUCCCCGCAAGGGGCGUGGACACAGGUGCUGCAUGGCUGUCGUCAGCUCGUGUCGUGAGAUGUUGGGUUAAGUCCCGCAACGAGCGCAACCCUCGCCCUUAGUUGCCAUCAUUCAGUUGGGCACUCUAAGGGGACUGCCGGUGAUAAGCCGCGAGGAAGGUGGGGAUGACGUCAAGUCCUCAUGGCCCUUACGGGCUGGGCUACACACGUGCUACAAUGGCGGUGACAGUGGGAUGCAAUGGAGUAAUCCUGCGCAAAUCUCAAAAAGCCGUCUCAGUUCGGAUUGUGCUCUGCAACUCGAGCACAUGAAGUUGGAAUCGCUAGUAAUCGCAGAUCAGCACGCUGCGGUGAAUACGUUCCCGGGCCUU